UACCUAGGUGAUGGGAUGAUCUGUGC
rnacentral:piRNA from 1 species